UGAAAGAGUGAUUUAACAGUUUGAUGGCAAGGUUGACUCUAUUACUUGCUACAUGGAUGAAACAUGCAAAGAAAAAUCAAAUUAGAAU